GUGACUUUGGGCUUGUUGUGUCUCCUCUGCUCCACGCUGCGCUGACUUCCGUACGGGGCGGGGUGCCACUGAGUCCGGCGCACAGCGCACAGCGCACCGUCACCAGCCGCUCUCCCUGCACCGUCUCCCGGCCUGACUCGACAAAAUGGGUUUAGAGAAGGAGAAAUUGGAUACCAGCAUAAUUAUGGACGAAGAUGAGUUCAACAGAUCGAUAGAGCCCAUUCUAUCGAACAAGGGGAAAGUGUAUACAGCGUCACCCGACAGAGAUCCAAACGAUAUCAACCCACAUCUGAAGGUGGGCUUUGAAGAUGUCAUCGCGGAACCCAUUUCCACACACAGUUUUGACAGAGUGUGGAUUGGAAGCCACGCCACCUUUGAGCUGGUCAAAUUCGGUUUUUACCGCCUGUUGACUACUCUGCUUGCUGUGCCCGUGGCUUUCAUCCUGGGGAUAGUGUUUGGAGUGCUCAGCUGUGUUCACAUCUGGGUGGUGAUGCCUAUGAUCCAGAGCUUCAUGAUGCUCUUACCGUCUAUCCACAUUGUGUGGAGGAGUCUGACGGACAUUCUCGUAACACCGCUUUUCCACAGUAUGGGGAAAAUCUUGUCCUCCAUUCAAGUCAAGGCUACAGAAAACUGAAACUUCUGUCCCUGGGGAGAAAGAAAUGUGCCGGGGGGACUGGAGUCAGUGACGAAAGAGUGACUGAAGCAAGUAGGAUACGGUACAUCAGCUCUAAGUGAAAUAUGAUAUCCUGGUGGAUGUUAUUGCAAAGUAAUAUUCUGUAGAUUUUUUUUUUUUUUGAAAAAUGUGGCCAUGAGGGCUAAGUUUGUCAAACAUAUAAUCUGAUCUGCUUUUUCUCAGAACACAUCAAAUGAAUGGUUUGAAACAGCAAAAGCACACCUGUGUUCAGUCUAAGCGAAACAAGGUUAAAACAUUAGAAAAUUAGAAGUUUAAGAUAUGCUAUGAACAUAUUUCACUAACCCUUUUCAGUGUAUCAAGCAAAGACACAAUGCAAAUAACAUGACUUGCAAAUAAGCAAAUCUGCACAUGCAGUCAUCUAAUGAAACCCUCAUAUAUUUGCAGACAGCUUGUUUGCACCACCCAAAAUGGAGUUGUUUUGCUGAUUGUGACCAAAAGAUGUUUGUCAUUCCAUUCCUUUGUGGGUGGCAGAGUGGUAAAAAUUGUUGCUGUUCAACCUAACAUAUUGCUGACUUGCUAAGAGAUGUAAUAUUUUUGCUUUUUUAUCUAUAUAUAUUGUGUAUAUUAUUAAGCAUUCAGCUGGAAGUUUAAUGUAAUGAACCGAAUAGUUUGCUCAAGAGCAGUUUAUUGGAAUAUUAAGCGCUAUGAAGCAGCUUGUUGCACAUUUGCAGCCUUAUUUUACUGUAUCAGCAAUAAUAAUGGGCAUUUGCUUAUGUAUGGAGCAUACAGUUAUUUAAUUAUGUUAUAUAAACAGGAUUGUAGAUCAUUUUAGAAGGGCCUUUCUAAUUUAUUAUUUAUGGGACAACUAGUUCUUGAUUGACAGACACUGACAUCAAAAGACUUUACUACAGUGUGAUGAAGGAGUUCCGUAUUUCAUUCGACUGAAGCCUUGGUUGAGCUGAGUGAGACUGUGGUACAUGCAUUUUGGAUAAGCUCUGUUUACUGCAGCACAGCAGCUUAGUGAGCUGGGAUUUGGAAUACUUCUACAGCUGGAAUUCAUUUAAAAAAUGACAUGAUUUUUACCAUUUUGGAGUGGUUUUGAUAAAUGUUUAAUUUGAAAUAUAAGCUUGCACAGCUCCUACUUGCAAUGAUCUGCACAGUCCAAAGUUUAAAAUGUGUUAUUGAGAGCAUCAGUGCAGCAGUCAGGUCUGCGUGUCAGGUACAUGCUCAUAUGUCUGUUUGCUUUUGUACUGUUUUCACUGUGCACUUCUGUCAAGUGCAAACCCACCUUAGACACUCACGGUCUAAAACCAAACUUUGGUAUAGUCCGCACAUCCCUUCUCAUUCCCAGACCGUCAAAAGAAAUUAUUUCUGUCAAAGCCACUGACAGAACUGAACAACAUAUGUUCAUUCCAGUAAUGAGAUGGUUGUUACAUUUCCUCUUCUUUAGAAAUCUGUGACUACUUUUGUAACAACAUACAGGGAAGCACAGUGGGUAGCACUGUUGCAUCGCUGCAAGAGAUAUGAAUUUGCUGGCCAGCUGUGGCCUUUCUGUAUGCAGUUUGCAUGAUCUCUUUGUGCCUGCGUGGGUUCUCUCCAGGUGCCCGGCAUCCUCCCACAGCCCAAAGACAUGCAUGAUGAGUUGCUUAGUGGUUCUAGAUUGGUUGUAGGUUUGAAUAAGCCUGGAUGACUGUAUGUCUCUGUGCUAGCUCUGGGGUGGACUGGUGAUUUAUAGGAUGUACUCUGCCUCCCACUCUAUGACAGCUGGGAUAGACUCCAGAACCUUUCCACCCUGCAGUGGAUGGAUGGAUUAUCACACUGAAAAUUCAAAAUAGCCUUUAAGGUUUUGCAUCAGCUCUCAUAAAAAUACCUGAUUAGGAUUCCAACUAAGGAAACGCUAGGUUAUUUGCUGCCAUUUGGACUGAUCUUCAGAGCUUUAGUUUAUAAUCUUACACUACCAAGCAGUGAGUGAUGGGUAUACAUUUCCAGCUAUACCUCCUGUUUGGUGCCUCGGGAUGAGAAUGUGUAUGUUGUUGCUUGGUUAGUUGCUUUUACUGUUUGAAGUCUGAAAAACUUGACAGCAAGCUAAAACGCCUGUAUACCUCUCACAUACUGUAUUAUCUCACUGUUGUGGCUCAUGUUAUAAACAGAUGCUACAUCCAGGUGACACUGACCAACAUUUCCACAUAUUUGAGUUUCUGCAGUCCUUUGUAGUCUUGUAACAAAUAUCAGAAUUUUUAAGUAGAUGCUAUAGUUUCAUUAGAAGCUAGUCGCUAACGUUGUAGUCUCUUGUUGGAGAUAGUAAAAUGGGUUCAUCCGAAAGGGACACACAACAAAAGUUAAACUUGUUCAGUGCAAUUAAGUUUAUAGUAGAUCACAAUUCAGAUUUUUCAAGGAAGAUGAAUCAGUUGAAAUAAAAGCUACAUUGGCAUGUACUGGUGGUUGCACUGCUGGCUAACCUGCUGAACAUUUAAAUCAAAAAGCUGAAGGCUGUAUGAUGCAAUGCUUUGUUUCAAUGCAUUUUGUUGGGCUUUGUGGUCAGCUCUCGGAUGACCAUUAAAGUAGAGUUGUACAACUGAAGGUGGAAGACAGUUGUGUGCAGCAGCAGCAUGAAACCACAACAUUUUAUCUGGGCUUUUUAUUCUAGCGCAGGCUAUAUAUUCAUUAAAGACAAAACGUUAUAAUACUGUAAGGUAUUCACUUGUCACUAAAGUAAAACUACUUAAACUACUUUACUUUUAACAGUAAUGAUGCUACUUUUAUGAGUUUGAUUUAAAUUUUUCUAGUUACUGUUUUACACAACAUUGACACAUUUUGGAAUGAAACUCUUAUUUUAACAAUAAAUAUGUCCUUCAUGACAAAAAUA